rnacentral:tRNA from 6 species
GGAAGGUUGUCCGAGCUGGCCGAAGGAGCACGCUUGGAAAGUGUGUAGGCGUCACAAGCGUCUCAAGGGUUCGAAUCCCUUACCUUCCG